rnacentral:rRNA from 1 species
CAGUCGCCGCGGUAAUACGAAGGGGGCUAGCGUUGUUCGGAAUUAUUGGGCGUAAAGGGCUCGCAGGCGGCGGCGAUAGUCAGAAGUGAAAGCCCCGGGCUCAACCUGGGAAUUGCUUUUGAUACUGUGUUGCUUGAAUUCGGGAGAGGUGAGUGGAAUUCCCAGUGUAGAGGUGAAAUUCGUAGAUAUUGGGAAGAACACCGGUGGCGAAGGCGGCUCACUGGACCGACAUUGACGCUGAGGCGCGAAAGCGUGGGGAGCAAACAGGAUUAGAUACCCCAGUAGUCCCUGUCUCUUAUAC